AACCUGGUUGAUCCUGCCAGUAGUCAUAUGCUUGUCUUAAAGAUUAAGCCAUGCAUGUCUAAGUAUAAAUAGUAUACAGUGAAACUGCGAAUGGCUCAUUAAAACAGUUAUAGUUUAUUUGAUAGUGCACAUUACAUGGAUAACCGUGGUAAUUCUAGAGCUAAUACAUGCGCAAAUACCUGACUCACGAAAGGUAGCAUUUAUUAGAUUUAACCAUCAUAUGGUGAAUCAUAGUAACUUGGCGGACCGCGCUCCGGCGUGGUAAAUCAUUCAAGUUUCUGCCCUAUCAGCUUUCGAUGGUAGUGUAUUGGACUACCAUGGCAGUCACGGGUAACGGAGAAUUAGGGUUCGAUUCCGGAGAGGGAGCCUGAGAAACGGCUACCACAUCUAAGGAAGGCAGCAGGCGCGUAAAUUACCCAAUCCCAAUUCGGGGAGGUAGUGACAAGAAAUAACAACCUGAGUGGUUCGCCACUUCGGGAUUGCAAUGAGAUAAGUCUAAAUCCGUAAGCGAUUACCAAUUGGAGGGCAAGUCUGGUGCCAGCAGCCGCGGUAAUUCCAGCUCCAAUAGCGUAUACUUAAGUUGUUGCAGUUAAAAAGCUCGUAGUUGAAAAUCGAAUCAGCUUCAUUAUGGCUUCGGUCAUACUUGUUAGCUGGUUCUCCGUCUACAAACCUUUUUGCUCUUUUACGAGUGCAGCUUGGAGAGUAGACAAUUUACCUUGAAAAAAUUAGAGUGUUCCAGGCAGGUCUUCGCCGGAAUACAUUAGCAUGGAAUAAUGGAAUAGGACUAUGGUCUUUUGUUGGUUUUAGGGCCAGUGUAAUGAUUAAUAGGGACAGAUGGGGGCAUUAGUAUUUAAUUGUCAGAGGUGAAAUUCUUGGAUUUAUUAAAGACUAACUUAUGCGAAAGCAUUUGCCAAGGAUGUUUUCAUUAAUCAAGAACGAAAGUUAGGGGAUCAAAGACGAUCAGAUACCGUCGUAGUCUUAACUAUAAACUAUACCGACUCGAGAUCGGAAGGUGCUCAAUAAGGCCCUUUCGGCAUCGUAAGAGAAAUCAAAGUCUUUGGGUUCUGGGGGGAGUAUGGUCGCAAGGCUGAAACUUAAAGGAAUUGACGGAAGGGCACCACCAGGAGUGGAGCCUGCGGCUUAAUUUGACUCAACACGGGGAAACUUACCAGGUCAAAACAUGGAUGGGAUUGACAGAUUGAAAGCUCUUUCUUGAUUCUAUGGGUGGCGGUGCAUGGCCGUUCUUAGUUGGUGGAGUGAUUUGUCUGGUUAAUUCCGAUAACGAACGAGACCUUAACCUGCUAACUAGUUUGUACCUAAAAAAGGUAUAUAUCUUCUUAGAGGGACUAUGUAUGUUAAAUGCAUGGAAGUUUAAGGCAAUAACAGGUCUGUGAUGCCCCUAGAUGUCCUGGGCCGCACGCGCGCUACACUGACACGUUCAGCGAGUUUAAUCUCCUAUCUCGAAAGGGUAUGGGAAAUCUUGUUAGGACGUGUCGUGCUGGGGAUAGAUCUUUGCAAUUAUAGAUCUUGAACGAGGAAUUCCUUGUAAGCACAGGUCAUCAGCCUGUGCUGAAUACGUCCCUGCCCUUUGUACACACCGCCCGUCGCUCCUACCGAUUUCGAGUGAUGUGGUGAACUAUCUGGACUGUGGACGGGCUUGAACCGUUCGCGGGAAGUUUCGUAAACCUUAUCACUUAGAGGAAGGAGAAGUCGUAACAAGGUUUCCGUAGGUGAACCUGCAGAAGGAUCA
rnacentral:rRNA from 1 species